rnacentral:rRNA from 1 species
AAUGAACGCUGGCGGCGUGCCUAACACAUGCAAGUCGUACGAGAAAGGGGCUUCGGCCCUGAGUAGUGUGGCGCACGGGUGAGUAACGCGUGGGUAAUCUGCCCUUGGAUUUGGAAUAACUCCGCGAAAGUGGAGCUAAUACCGGAUAGUCUGGCUUUUUAACGAAGUCGGUAAAGGAUGCCUCUGCAUAUGCAUUCGUCCGAGGAUGAGCCCGCGUCUCAUUAGCUAGUUGGUAGGGUAAUGGCCUACCAAGGCAACGAUGAGUAGCUGGUCUGAGAGGAUGAUCAGCCACACUGGAACUGAAACACGGUCCAGACUCCUACGGGAGGCAGCAGUGGGGAAUAUUGCGCAAUGGGCGAAAGCCUGACGCAGCAACGCCGUGUGAGGGAUGGAGGCUUUCGGGUCGUAAACCUCUGUCAGAAGGGAAGAACGGGCAUUGGUCUAAUAGGCCUUUGUUUUGACGGUACCUUCAGAGGAAGCACCGGCUAACUCCGUGCCAGCCGCCGCGGUAACAC